UUCUACUCCAUUUAUUAAUCUGCAGUGUAUUUUCCUCUUCUCUCACUUCCACAGAGAAACUUUGACUUAUUCUCACAUGGUAGUUACUUGGCAAAUGUGACAGUUGUUUUGGAACGAGAAUUCAUAUGUUGCACCAUACUCUGGCUUAUAAAAAACCUUAUCUUUAAUAAAACCUCUGAUACAGGGAAAUUCCUCAUUUUUUCAGCUAAUUCAGGAGGAUCUUUGCUGAAAAUUUUCAUGGCAAAAGGAAAGACUUCUACUCCCAGUAAGGCAGCAGAAAUAAGAAAGAUGAAAAAGGUUUGAAAACCAUAAGACAAUCUUCAGCACUUUUUCUGACUACAGAGCCAUCAUUACCAAAACCAAAGAACUGAAGUUAAAACUUUGCAGAAGCAGUUUCCAGGUAAGAAAUGCCCCUGUCCAGGCUGAAUAUUCAUCACAAUCCUACUGUUUUUCUGGUGCCUAAAGUGAUAUGCACUCUGUACUUCUGCAGGGGAAUAAUUUUCAUCUAGAGGUGUAAACCACUUCAUUAGAAGCAUCCGGUGGGAUGAAUGAGAGGAUCUCCUCCACUAUGAGUCGUCUCAUGUAUCUUUUUAGUCUUCUAAUUACAUCAAUUUUAUUUUACAUUGGUAAUAAUAGAGUUAAAAUGGCUUUUUAAGCUGAGAUUAUGUCACACCAGAGGAGUUCAAAGAUGAACUUCUGAGUGUGACUCUUUAACAGCAGAUUUGUUCUGCAAGGCAUUUCCACAAAAGAUUCAUCAGGGUUAUAUUACAACUUGGGUAAUAUUUCCAGAGGCAAAACACAUACAUAUAUACAUUUAGAAGUGAAAGUAGCCUAAAAUAUAUUGGUGUAUAGAAUGUGAAUUUCAAAGGUGAAAAAGAAUAAUCAUAAGUAGUUUUUAAUUUUAGGUAUGAUUCAGCAAUUGUUAAUUUAUUUCCAAAUACUUCUGGUCUUGGUAAGCUGUGGGAGGAUUAUACAAAGAUAACUUAUUCUAAUUGAAUCUUACCUUUCAAUAUAAAAAAUAAUUUAAAAAUUAUUAAUGAAGAGAAGAAUGUGCACAGCGUAUCAGUAGUAAAAAAUCUAAAGAGCUAAUAUAAAAUUUUCCCAACCAUAGCUGAUACCAACUUAUCCUGGCUGAUGUAUGAAUUUUAUUUCCAGUUUUGUAAACCUCAGAAAUGCCAGGGGAAAAAAAUGGCAUUUUUUUUUUUUUUUU